GUCACCUACGGGGGGCAGCAGUGAGGGAUAUUGGUCAAUGGGGGAAACCCUGAACCAGCAACGCCGCGUGAGGGAAGACGGUUUUCGGAUUGUAAACCUCUGUCCUCUGUGAAGAUAAUGACGGUAGCAGAGGAGGAAGCUCCGGCUAACUACGUGCCAGCAGCCGCGGUAAUACGUAGGGAGCAAGCGUUGUCCGGAAUGAUUGGGCGUAAAGGGUACGUAGGCGGCCUGCUAAGUCUGGAGUGAAAGGUACCGGCUCAACCGGUACAGGCUCUGG
rnacentral:rRNA from 1 species